CGGCGUGCCUAAUACAUGCAAGUCGAACGGUCUUUCUAUGGAAGCUUGCUUCCACUGAGAAGAUAGUGGCGAACGGGUGAGUAACACGUGGGUAACCUGCCCAUAAGAGGGGGAUAACAUCCGGAAACGGGUGCUAAUACCGCAUAGUUUUCUUGAUUGCAUGAUUGAGAAAGGAAAGACGGCCUUUGUGCUGUCGCUUAUGGAUGGACCCGCGGCGUAUUAGUUAGUUGGUGAGGUAACGGCUCACCAAGACGAUGAUACGUAGCCGACCUGAGAGGGUGAUCGGCCACAUUGGGACUGAGACACGGCCCAAACUCCUACGGGAGGCAGCAGUAGGGAAUCUUCCGCAAUGGACGAAAGUCUGACGGAGCAACGCCGCGUGAGUGAAGAAAGGUUUUCGGAUCGUAAAACUCUGUUGUCAGAGAAGAACAAGUUGGAGAGUAACUGCUCCAGCCUUGACGGUAUCUGACCAGAAAGCCACGGCUAACUACGUGCCAGCAGCCGC
rnacentral:rRNA from 1 species